rnacentral:rRNA from 1 species
CGCGUAGGCGGUUUUUAAGUCAGAUGUGUAAUCCCCGAGCUUAACUUGGGAACUGCAUCUGAGACUGGAAGGCUAGAGUACUGGAGAGGGUGGUGGAAUUCCUCGUGUAGCGGUGAAAUGCGUAGAGAUGAGGAGGAACACCAGUGGCGAAGGCGGCCACCUGGACAGUAACUGACGCUGAGGCGCGAAAGUGUGGGUAGCAAACAGGAUUAGAUACCCUGGUAGUCCACGCUGUAAACGAUGAACACUUGGUGUGGAGGGAGUUGACCCCUUCCGUGCCGGAGCUAACGCGUUAAGUGUUCCGCCUGGGGAGUACGGUCGCAAGGCUGAA